rnacentral:rRNA from 1 species
CCUACGGGAGGCAGCAGUGGGGAAUAUUGCACAAUGGGGGAAACCCUGAUGCCGCGACGCCGCGUGAGUGACGAAGUAUUUCGGUAUGUAAAGCUCUAUCCGCAGGGAAGAACAUGACGGUACCUGAUUAAGAAGCCCCGGCUAACUACGUGCCAGCAGCCGCGGUAAUACGUAGGGGGCACGCGUUAUCCGGAUUUACUGGGUGUAAAGGGGGCGUAGACGGCAGCACAAGUCUGGAGUGAAAUGCCGGGGCGGAACCCCGGGAGUGCUUUGGAAACUGUGUCGCUAGAGUGCAGGAGAGGUAAGUGGAAUUCCUAGGGGAGCGGUGAAAUGCGUAGAUAGUAGGAGGAACACCAGUGGCGAAGGCGGCUUACUGGACUGGAACUGACGUUGAGGCUCGAAAGCGUGGGGAGCAAACAGGAUUAGAUACCCGUGUAGUC